rnacentral:rRNA from 1 species
AUUGAACGCUGGCGGCAUGCUUUACACAUGCAAGUCGAACGGUAACAGGCCGCAAGGUGCUGACGAGUGGCGAACGGGUGAGUAAUGCAUCGGAACGUGCCCAGUCGUGGGGGAUAACUACUCGAAAGAGUAGCUAAUACCGCAUACGAUCUAUGGAUGAAAGCGGGGGACCGUAAGGCCUCGCGCGAUUGGAGCGGCCGAUGUCAGAUUAGGUAGUUGGUGGGGUAAAGGCUCACCAAGCCAACGAUCUGUAGCUGGUCUGAGAGGACGACCAGCCACACUGGGACUGAGACACGGCCCAGACUCCUACGGGAGGCAGCAGUGGGGAAUUUUGGACAAUGGGCGCAAGCCUGUUCCAGCAAUGCCGCGUGCAGGAAGAAGGCCUUCGGGUUGUAAACUGCUUUUGUACGGAACGAAACGGCUCUGGUUAAUACCCGGGGCUAAUGACGGUACCGUAAGAAUAAGCACCGGCUAACUACGU